rnacentral:rRNA from 1 species
UACGUAGGGGGCUAGCGUUGUCCGGAAUCAUUGGGCGUAAAGAGCGCGUAGGCGGCUAGAUAAGUCCGGUGUGAAAGUCACAGGCUCAACCUGUGAAUGCCGCUGGAAACUGUCUGGCUAGAGUCCGGAAGGGGAGAGCGGAACUCCUGGUGUAGCGGUGGAAUGCGCAGAUAUCAGGAAGAACACCGGUGGCGAAGGCGGCUCUCUGGGCCUUACCUGACGCUGAGGAGCGAAAGCGUGGGUAGCGAACAGG